rnacentral:rRNA from 1 species
GACGAACGCUGGCGGCGUGCUUAACACAUGCAAGUCGAACGGAAAGGCCCUGCUUUUGUGGGGUGCUCGAGUGGCGAACGGGUGAGUAACACGUGAGUAACCUGCCCUUGACUUUGGGAUAACUUCAGGAAACUGGGGCUAAUACCGGAUCGGAGCUCCUGCUGCAUGGUGGGGGUUGGAAAGGUUCGGCGGUUGGGGAUGGACUCGCGGCUUAUCAGCUUGUUGGUGGGGUAGUGGCUUACCAAGGCUUUGACGGGUAGCCGGCCUGAGAGGGUGACCGGCCACAUUGGGACUGAGAUACGGCCCAGACUGCUACGGGAGGCAGCAGUGGGGAAUAUUGCACAAUGGGCGGAAGCCUGAUGCAGCAACGCCGCGUGCGGGAUGACGGCCUUCGGGUUGUAAACCGCUUUCGCCUGUGACGAAGCGUGAGUGACGGUAAUGGGUGAAGAAGCACCGGCUAACUACGUG